rnacentral:rRNA from 1 species
UGGGGAAUCUUGCGCAAUGGGGGAAACCCUGACGCAGCGACGCCGCGUGGAGGAUGAAGGUCUUCGGGUUGUAAACUCCUUUUGUAGGGGAAAAUAGUGAUGGUACCCUACGAAUAAGCCACGGCUAACUCUGUG